UACGAAGGGGGCUAGCGUUGCUCGGAAUCACUGGGCGUAAAGGGUGCGUAGGCGGGUCUUAAGUCAGGGGUGAAAUCCUGGAGCUCAACUCCAGAACUGCCUUUGAUACUGAGGAUCUUGAGUUCGGGAGAGGUGAGUGGAACUGCGAGUGUAGAGGUGAAAUUCGUAGAUAUUCGCAAGAACACCAGUGGCGAAGGCGGCUCACUGGCCCGAUACUGACGCUGAGGUGCGAAAGCG
rnacentral:rRNA from 1 species